AUGUUGUCUACAGGGGCUGUCAGCCACCAUUGUGUUCACCAGAGCGGGGAGGGGUUUUUCCCAGGCUCACACAGCGAGGCAGUGGCAGAGGGGUUGACCAUACCCUUCAAUAUGCCCUUGAUCCAGCAAAAGGGUCGCUUGAGGAAAUAGAAAACUGACAAAAUAGGGCAACUGGGUGUGUGGCUGGGCAGAGGGGUACCUAUUGUGGGGGCUCAGGAAUACUAGCUCUGGCCUACUGUUCCCUCAGCCAUCCCUGCAAGGCUGUGGCACAGGCCAGGCCCAGCUAAGGGCCUGCCUCUGGCACUGGGCCUGCUGUGUGCCUGGAAAGCUCUGAAAGGAGCGAGCUGGGGACUCAGCAUUCCCAUCUACCACCUCCAAUCAGCCACAGAGAGACGAUGCUGCUCCCCCUGGCCCUGGCUCAGGGCUUUAAUGCUCGAUCUCAUUUAGUUUAUCCCCCAAACCAAAGCCCGUGAGGGAUCCUUGAUCCCUGUCUCUGGGCUGGAAUGUGCCCAGCAGCACAAAGCUGGCAGAUGCCUGAGCCAAGGUCCAAACCACUCCUGUGGGUUUCCAGGCCCUGGUUCAGCCCACCCCAUGCCACGGCCUAGGGGCCUGCGGGACACAGGAAGCUCGGGGCUCAGGCCCACCUGACUGGGGCCUCUGAGGCUCUUGUUGCUGCAUAGAAGCCAUCCCCCAGAGGGGCCAUCCUCGGGCUCGCCAGCUCAUUCCUUCUGGGAGAGGUGCCCUGAGAGAGGGGUGCUGAAUUCCUGCCCUAAGUGCCUGGCGCCUCAUCACAUGCCAGCUCAGCUUCCAGCUAUGCAUCUCCUCUAGACCAUCUCCUGUUUUGGUGUCCUCCGGGCAGCCACUCAGGUCUCCGUGAAUCACAGAGCCACUUCUUAACCCCUGGUCCUGCUCGCAGUGGGAAACAGAAUUCCACUUGUCACAAACACGCUCACAGGAAUUGAGGAGCCUCUUCUGUGGAUACUAUCUAGGCACAGUGAUCGAACGUGCUUUGGACCGGGGCUUGGGAGAUGCAACUUCUGGCCUUAGCUUUGCCAGAGACUUGCUGGGAGACAAGGGCAUGCAUUUGCCCUUCUCAGGGGUGUUAAGAGCUCUGUAGUCUGCAGAAUGCACGGGUGGGCUGGGUGAUAUGAGACAGCCAGAUUGGGUGUAAGUGUCAUCCAGAUUUGGAAGAAGGCAGGUUUGGGGUGGAAUCUUAUUUAUGCCACUUACAAGUUGCGUGACUUGAGAUGAUCACUCGACCUCUUUAAGGCUCGAUUUCCUCAUCUAUCAAUCAAAGAUGAUAAUCCCUAUGCCAUGGAGGAUUUCAUACGAAAAUGCAUGUAACAGUGAAUGUUCAGUUAAAGAUCACCGCUCUUUCACUCUCCUGCUGCUGGAAGGUCCACAGAAAACAUCCUGGGGUCCUGAGCUGAAGUGUGAUGGGAGGAGUCCUCUGUAUCUCAGUCUGAUCCUGGUCUCCCUCUCGGCCAUGGUCUCACACUAGUGCUGCUGGGAAACCAUCCCUCACAUCCAGUCCUGGCAUCGGGCAGUGACUCUGGUCCAACUGUUGUCCAACUCAAGGGUUUAGCUGCUUAGAUUUUCCUAAAACUUGAAUUUCAUUUUCCUCUAGCCAUGGAAUACAGAUUAAUCCUUUACAAUUAAAAUCCAAGUUCAGAUUUUAUUUGUUGUGGUUUUUAAUUAAAAUCUCACCAGCACUU
rnacentral:lncRNA from 1 species